rnacentral:lncRNA from 1 species
UUACACUUUUCGAGUGUCCCGUAGUUUUUGUACUUGUCGUGGUUUCUUUUGACACGGGAUCUAUAUUGGUGGGAACACUAUCGUUUGUCUCUCUCCCAUGACUAAUUGGAUCAAGGUCAUCAAGGUUAGGCUCGUCCGUAUCAUCCACCAUGUGCAAAUCAUUUAAAAUACUUCUUGACAUCAUCUAUAAAUGUCAAACAAAUCAAAUUAUUAUGUCAAUCAAAUUAUAAAUAUUAUGAAUCAUUACUUAUACAUAUAUAAUAAUAAUAAUAAUAAUAAUAAUAAUAUAAAGAGUAGUUUUCUUGAGCUUUUUAUUUCCUUGCGGGCAUUGAUUGUGGAAGCAUUCAUUCGGAUCAAAUCAUAUUCAUAACCUGUGUGUCCCAAGAAUUAAGGAGAGAUGAAUAUGUCUAAUGAAAAGUAAUUAAUUCUCUCUUCUUACCAAUGUUCAAUUAUUUCAAGCCUAAAGGGGAUCGGAGGAUCAGGAUUUGAUUAAAACUUAACUUUAUUAUUUAUAAAAACAAAUUAGAAUUACAGGUGACCCUUAGGCCUUAACAAAGAACUUAUCAGUUGAACCAAAAAAUAGAAUUAUGGGUGACCUACUGACCUUAAUUUAGCAUUUCUUUAGGCAUCCUAAUUCCUACAGUUCCAAAAAAACCCUAGUUUUAUGGAAUUUUGCAGGGCCAGGAUAUGUGUAUGCCAUGUUCCACCAAAAAGAAAAUAAGAACUAGAUAAAUUAAAAGAACAUGUUGAUGCUAGAAAGUAGAAAUGACAAACAGAGGUGUGUGAAAAUACCAAAAAUAGACAGAAGCCGAGAGGCGAAGGCCAGAGACUGCGGUGAGAGACGGCGCGACAGAAGCCGAGAGGCGAAGGCCGAAGCAGAUAUUGAGACGGAGAGGGAGCGAGUAGCGAGAAACUGAAGUUCAGAUCGAGAAGCAAGAAGCCAAGAAGAUUAGAAGAUGCUGAGAAAUUGAAGUUAAGAUCUGGGAUGGGAAUGGCUAGUGAGUAGCGAGCUAGGGCAAAACUUUAACUUACUGAAUACUCGUAGAUA